CCCUUGUGGAGAGGAGCGAUCUCCUUUUACAACUGUCUGGGAUUUGUAUGGAGGUGGAAUUCGGCAGUUACAGAAAACCAGUAGGAGCCUUCUGAGCUCACAGAACCUCCAGAACAUCAGCUGGAAGUGCAAUGGCUGCAUCUGGAGACCCUGUGCCCCAGUCCUCGGGCUGAGCUUUGAAGAAGAGACCUCCAGCAGCACUGGUGAGUACAGAGAUGGCCACGGAGACAGAAAUGAAAGCGGCAGAGCACCGCGAGGGCACAGCCGAGGCUUGUGGAGACAGCGCUCCAACUCUCCAGACAGCAGAUUCCAGCCAGCAACAUCUCGUGUUUCACCUCCACUGAACUGCAAACUCAGGUCAUUUUGACUUGGAGGAAGAGCCAGAAGUCACAUGGUAUCUGAUCAGAUGAAUAAAGCCAAUGAGGAAACACUGCCAUGGUUUUAUGAUCCAUCCUUUCCAUUGGAUACACUGGACAGCAGCAUUCACCAUAUUAUUUUUUACCAUACCCUGUAAAAGAGGAAUGCCAAAACUGUUUUAAAAAGUAGCAAGAAGGAAUAGGAUAAAUGUGUUAGAAGCAAGGGAUAUAUUUUGAGUGGGGUUAAUGCCAAUAUGCCUUUUAAUGGAGCAAAUUUUAAAAAUUUAAAUAUCAUUCACAAUAAUUUUCAG
rnacentral:lncRNA from 1 species